GCUUGUUAUCAAGAGUGGUGCACUCCCGUGCACCCAGCAACCUGGGGUGGACACCCAAGGUGCUUUCCUACUUUGUAGGGAUAUGGCUGCGGUUUAUCGCCGGAGCAACAAACUGUCCGAGG
rnacentral:ncRNA from 2 species